UGCGACUUCCAGAUCCCAGCUUCCCGGCGCUGACUCAGCCCACCGUGCGUCCCAGGGGCGGGGAUUCGGAUUGACUGCUAGUGUCCCCCUCCCCUACUGUGCGGCUGUGCUGGCCCCGCCUCUCGGCUGCUCUGUAAGUUUAAAGAUGGGGAAACUGAGACUCAGAGUGAUGAGUAACUUGUCCAAGGCUACACAGAGGAGCUAAGAGUGAAGCCCCAGCUUGGACCAAUGGUCAUAUAUGAAAGAAACUAAACAGAGGUCUCCUCAAAUUUGGCCACAGUCCUAAAAAUGUACAUUAUUGUAAAGCUGAAGUGUUUCUAAACUAUCAAUAGUAAAAAAAUAAAUUUCCAUCAACCAU